AAAGCAUUAUUUAAGCUUCAAGCAGCUCUCCUCGGGGGGUUUAUAGAUUCCUCUUUGGGGCAUCUGUCUCAUAGCAGGAAGAAAAAAUAAUAGUGAUCACCAGGUGGUGUCUGCUUUGGGAGGUGGGGUUGACGUGGCAGCUCCUCUCUUGCAAGAGCUCAGCUUGUAGAAUCAUAGAACGCUUAGGUUGGAAGAGACCUCAAAGAUCACCUGGUUCCAACCCCCCCGCUGCCAUAAAAAGGAACAAACAAAAAGCCACUCCUUCCAUAAAAACAAAAUAAAAACCCACAACCCUUGCCUAGACCCUGAACUGCAGAGUUUGUUUCUGCUCAAGCUCUGUUACCAGCACCUUCUUCAGGAAGCCAGGGAAGCCUUGUUAUGGGAUCUACCCAUACAAACCAUCUGCAGAGUAGAUGAAGUCCCAGGUGAAGGUGUUAUUGCUGCUAAGAACUUAUGGCCAAGCCACGUAACCCAGCUUACAAGGCAUAGAAACUCCUUGCUCAGUAAAAUGACAUUUUCCCACAUGCUCAGUUACUUGCAUUGUAGAUAUCCCAUGCACCCACGCUUUCUUCCAUUACUUCCAAACUAUAAUUUCUACUCUUUUAGAUAAACAUUUUGUUUCGUCCCCUCGGUGCACAUCCUUGAACUGUGCAUCAUUGUAUGCAACCCUUUUUAGCUCUUAAAUUUGGCUUUUUUUUGUUUGUUUGUUUAUGAAAACACUUCUGUAGUGUCAUUAUCUCUGAUAUCUACAGCAAUCAUCAACUCCCUGCUCUUCUUUAGUCAGAGCUAUUACACAUGUUUUGCAAGAGGGUCACAAUGGCUCCCCUUUGAACCACAUUAGAAACUUUCUUCCCAUCCAUCAGUUCCUCUCCAGGAAAACCCUCUUGUGGUCUCCAUCCCAUUCCCAGCUUGGUGCUUGCCCAUCUUCACAGUUUUCAAAAAAAAAAUCCCCUUUUUCAGGACCACAUAAAUAAGAUGCCAGACGUGAUGCCAGCAAAAUAGUUCACUGAGGUUUUGAGACAAGAGAUCUCUUGCAUUUUGCUUUUCCAGUAAAACUCUCUUUUCUGGCAGGGAGUGAGGGGAGGAGGUAUGGGAGGAGAACAGCCACAGCUGCUGUCAGGUAACACGUGACAGUUUUUGAGCAACAGCCAUCACAACGGAGUCCAUCCUACUUGGAUUUAAAGGCCAUGGUGCAGAUUAAGGACCCAACAGAGCUGCCUUGAAAUUCUUGUGCUCACGAGAGAGAACUGCUUUGGUGCAACGCAUGCAAGAAUGAAAUAUCAUCAUAGAAACAUAAAGGCUGGAAAAAAGACCUCUCGGAUCACCAAAUCCAACCCAUCCCACCAUGCCCACUGACCACGUCCCUCAGUGCCACAUCUCCACAGUUCUGGAACACCUCCAGGGAUGGUGACUCCACCACUCCUUGGGCAGCUGUGCCAUUGCAUCACCACCUGAGAAUGAGCCACAAGAUAUCCAUCUUUUCAUAGAGCUUCCAAGAGCAGUCUUCAUGUAACUGGGUCUGGAACCACUGUGCCACAUGCUGGUUUUAUUGCUGUGAUAACAGAGAUUAGUCUAUUCCCUGUAUCAUAAGCACUAAAGCUGCAGCUGCUGAGAAGAACUGCUCCAGGCUAAGUCUUAACAAAUAUCUUGGCUGGUGAAUACAGAAACAUAGCAUCAUAGAAUGGUUUGGGUGGGAAGAGACCUUAAAGAUCAUCUGGUUCCAGCCCUCCUGCUAUAGGCAGGGACAUCUCAAAACCUACUCCAUUCCCUAUCCUUGUCCUGAUCCAAAUUCAGCCUUGGUGAUUUUUCACCUGAGCCAGUUUCCAUUCUAUUGGCUGGGAGAAUUAAUUGUAUCACCCAGUUUUUCAGAUUCUUCCUGCCUUGAAUGAGACACUCAGAACCCUGCAGGUUUUGUUGAUGCUGUUAUAAAUGACUGUAAUGUCUAUAAAACAUGCACUGUGUUUUCUGUUUACAGCAUCCCCACAUCAUUUCAAUGUUGCACAGCUGUACAUAGCAUUCUCCUACUGCAACUUCAGAAUUUAAACUGGAGUCCCAGGUAAACCCUCCCACAAGGCUCUGUAUCCCCAGAAGAAGAAAAUAUUAAUGUGUGCAUGCCAAGUGCUGGUGAAAUGCUUGUUGGAGUGCAAACCAAUUGGUGGUGCCAGAAACCCCGUGGUAAAGGAGAGGUGAAAAGCAAGAUUUAAUGAAUUUCUCAGAGCCCCGAAUUUUCUUUAAUUGACAUUUUCUCUAUGCUGACAGGUUUCUGAGGGCUCCUAUGACAAAUAACUUUUGUAUUAAGGAGUCUUUCAGAUAGAGGCAGAAUUGUAUUUUCACACCCCAGGUAGAAAGGAUGCAGACACCAGGUGGAAUUUGUAGUGCUCCCUUUCCUGCAUCCCCAGCUGCCACAGGCGUUUGAAGAUUUCAGAUGGGGAAAUAAAUGAAUGGAUUUCUCCAAACCUCAUUCCUUGCACAAUCCUUUCACUCUUCAGGGGUACCGAAAUGAGCUCAGCCCAAGGUGCGUCUGCAGCCCUCGCUUUUGUGAGCUCUCUGCCAGGCUUGGAACUGCCCCAGAUCUGAUGAUGAACCUGCAGAAGAGAGCAGGAGGUGGACAGAAGGCUUCCUUGAGGAAAGAUUCUGAGAACUCAAAUGGGAUCUCAAGUUAUGAAGGUACAGAUUAAAGGCCAUGAGAAGAUGUACAGAGAUAACUGCGGUGAGCUUGGAGGGACCACAUUCAUCCAUUCUGAGCUGCACUCAGUCACUGGAUCAUCAGAGAAUCAUAGAAUGUCCCAAGUUGGCAGCAACCUCAACGAUCCUUGAGUCCAGCUCCUGGCUCCCUGCAGGACCACACAAGAACCAAACCAUAUGUCUGAGAGUGUUGUCUGAAUUCUUCUUGAACUCCAUGAGGCCUGGUGUCAUGACCACUGCCCCGGGGAGCCUACAAAGAAAGUAAAGCCUGAAUGCACGCUAAAGCCUCUCCUGCUGUGCUGCUUGUUCCAGCCUGGAAGGAGGAAGCUCAGCCCUCCUUAUGGAUCUGUCCUCAGAUAUGGGAAGAAGGUACAAAACACAGCAUAUAGAGCAACCAGUAGCUGUUACUGCUAGACGUCACAUAUUGAAGUCCUGCACUACCUCUGUAAGUCCCAGAUGCCUUUUUAGGUUGGGAGAUUUUCUUUGCAGAACUCCAGUGGUGGCAUCUCAAUAUGUGCGCUGGAUCUUGUGGUCCAACCAGCACUGCAGAUAUUAUCUCUGAUGUCUCUCACACGGUUUAACUCCAAGGCUUAGACACAUCUUACAGGAGACCAAGCUGAAGGAGACCACUUGUAGACCAAGCUGAAGGCAAUGCCCUAUUUGUUGGUGUGAGCAGCAAAUGAGAUGGGAGUGUACAGAGACUACACUCAUAGAAUCACUAAGGUUGGAAAAGACCUCUGAGAUCAUCCAGUCCAGCUGUCCACCUAUCACCAGUAUUCCCCCACUAAACAAUGUCUUUCAGUACAACAUCUAAACGUUUCUUGAACACCUCCAGGAACGGUGAUUCAACCUCCCUGGGCAGCCCAUUGCAGCUGAACUGUAAUAGAGGUGUCACAGUGAUAGGUAAACAUUAGGUUUUAGCCAAAUAUGUGAAGAGACAUAAUUCAAGGGAGAGAACUGAGAAACGAAGGCCAAAGUUUUUAACUAGAGGGUGAAAGAAGAAAUUUAAGCAGCCCCAAAGCUUGUUGGUUCACCUUAUACAGGUGAAAAAUUCAAGCUCUGAUGGCAUCACUUAAAUCCAGCUUCCAAGAAACUGCACUUUGAGUUAUGGAGCUGCCUGGUGAUGAGUUUCUCCUGUUAGGAAGUGAGAAGGGCUCAGAGGAGAGGACCUGGGAGAAGCCACUCCUUCUUGUUUUCCAGCCUGGUCCCAGGGUCAGGCAGCUGACGGAGUGAUGAGGGAUGGCUGACUCAUCAGCCUUUGUGUUGUUUCGCAGAAGCCAUGCAAAGCUCCUGACAGCCUCUGAUUUCACAUUACAUAAGGCAAUACACCCCAGUGCCACAUGUGCUACAUCACAUUCCUCUUCAGCAGAAUCCUUCGGCUCUCCAAACCAUGUCGUGUUUAUGUAGACUCCCAAGCACCAGUUAUGCAAUCUUUCCCAUUCUCUCUAGCCAACAAACAUCCAAUUAAAAUGUGCAGUUACCAUGGUUUCUCCCUCACCAACCUAGGUAGCAUAAAUGUGAAGUUUGGGUUUGAGAAAAAAAAAAAAAAAAAAGGGAAAAAAAAGAGGUAUUUUCUGGUUAAGCAAUGUACUCAUUCAGUUGAUGGCCUUAAAAUGUUCUGUUCAGCCGACUCAGUGUUUGGGUGCUUUAAUGGUUUUCUUUUCUAUGUUGGGGUUUUAUUUUUUUGUUUGGUUGCUUUUGUUGUGUUUUUUUUUUUUUUUAAGUACUCAAAUACAUGGAAAGGGAAGAGCUUGGGAAUGGUUUGCCAUGACAAAUACAUUGUUUUCAGAGUAAAUUUAAGCAGCCAGAGAGGGGAACUGGAGCUGGGGAAUGUUUGCUGGAGUAUAUGAACGUGCUGUUGGAAAUAACUCGUUGUUGGUAAAAGCUGGGUUUAAUUGUAGUCUCUUAAAAUCCCUGAAAGUCAUAUAAAGAAAAGAGUUUUACAACAAAGCAUGUCCUUUAGGAUGGAGUUGAAAAUGAAUGUGGAGCUUAGAAACAAACUGGAGUUGCCUGAACUGGGUUACAAAACCAUUCUCUGCUGUGUGACUCUGGUCAUGUAGCCUGUCUCAUCAUCCUGCCUUUGAGAUCCCUUCAUCAUAACGAGAAAUUGGACCAAAAACCCUGUGCCAUGCAAUACCAUAGGGAUCAGGCAAUGUCAUGCAACUGAAUUCUCCAGUUAUUCCCCCGGGGAGAGCAAGAGGCCAUUGCAAGCAGGUUACAGCAGCUGCAGAAUGUGUCAGUAAUGCAGUGAAGCUCAGCUGAAUCCUACAGAGUGUUCAGGCAGUGCAAAACUUCCUAGGCUGUGAUGGAGAUCAGUAGCACAGUUCAUAGCUGUCCAGGACAUUGCCUCCUUUGCAAAAUAAGGAAGGCAACAGGGAAAAUGGGGAAACAGGGAAGAAAGGUAAAGACUCGCUGAAAGACUGAAGACUGCAAAGUGUAGCAAUUCAUCAUAAAUAAUUGCCAGCAAAUAUAUGACAAUAAUGGCUGCUUGACCAUGCCAAGCAAGGUUGUUAGAUGGCACUGGAGAUUUCAGCUAGAGAGAUUCAUCAGGUCUGCCUUCCUCCUUUUCCUUCUCCCCUCCGUGUUUAAGGAAUAGUGAAAUAAAAUGAGUAGAGGCACAGAGAGGAGGUAAUAAGAUGGCAUUGAAAGAAUCCAUUUUAAGAAAUAAAAUAAUAAUAAUAAUAAAGAAAAAAUAGAAAGGAGAAGAAAAAGAAAAAAAGAGAAGAAAAAAGAAAAUAAUGAUAGCAAAAAAAGACAAGUGUCUGUCUUGGCCAGCAGGAAUCUGUGAGAGAGUCUCCUAGUGGAGAAGCUGACUGGCAUGGUGUACUGCAUCACUAACAGAGUUAGUGGCAGCUUCUACACUAGUAAAUGGAACAGGAUGGAGAAUAGGUUCAGACACUGUUAAAUGACUGUUGGAAUAGCUGUCUGUCUCCAGAAGGUUUCGGUUUGGUCUGUGCUAACUAAUGGUCUCUCUAACCAGGGCUGGGAAUGCUGCAAGAGCCAGGGAACAUCACCUGUAGGAAAUAUAGGAAAGAGUAUGAACACAACCCAUACUGUCCCACUUAUCUUUAGGUCCAGACAACGUGUCUUGGCCCUGUUUGAUUUGCUAAGCAACAUUUUGACUCUGCCUGUUGUGGUAUUUCUAUAGAGCUUCGUUGAACUGAGAUUUGUUUGAGAAACAGGGAAGGGAAAAUGUUACAGAAGACAGCAGAUUAGCUGUAAGUACUGGUGGUAUGAGCUGCAGAGGAGUAUGUUUUGGACAUGGUUUGGGAGGCUUUUUAACAUCAUAUAAUGGUACGUCUUGACUGUAUUUCUUCCCUUCUGUGCUGGAUUUUGUAGAAGGGAAUGUAUGGCAGACAAGAACUGGGUGCCCAGCCCAGUGUAAGCAUGGACGUGCUGCUCAGUGCACAUUGGUCUGAUGGGAGCACAGUGCUGUUGUGCUCUGGGGGAUCACAGCUGUGGGAAUGCACACAGGAUGAAAGCCAUUCCUGCAGUGAUGGUGGCUUUCCUGACUUACCAGGUUAGGGGAAAAUCAAAAACAAUGAGUAGAACUGUGCACUGCAGCAGAUAGUGGGCCAA
ensembl:lncRNA